rnacentral:rRNA from 1 species
AAUAGAUACCCCGGUAGUCCACGCCGUAAACGAUGAGUGCUAAGUGUUAGGGGGUUUCCACCCCUUAGUGCUGCAGCUAACGCAUUAAGCACUCCGCCUGGGGAGUACGGUCGCAAGACUGAAACUCAAAGGAAUUGACGGGGGCCCGCACAAGCGGUGGAGCAUGUGGUUUAAUUCGAAGCAACGCGAAGAACCUUACCAGGUCUUGACAUCCCGGUGACCGCUCUAGAGAUAGAGCUUUCCCUUCGGGGACAGCGGUGACAGGUGGUGCAUGGUUGUCGUCAGCUCGUGUCGUGAGAUGUUGGGUCAAGUCCCGCAACGAGCGCAACCCUUGUUCUUAGUUGCCAUCAUUCAGUUGGGCACUCUAAGGAGACUGCCGCAGACAAUGCGGAGGAAGGUGGGGAUGACGUCAAAUCAUCAUGCCCCUUAUGACCUGGGCUACACACGUGCUACAAUGGACGGUACAAACGGUUGCCAAGUCGCGAGACGGAGCUAAUCCGAUAAAACCGUUCUCAGUUCGGAUUGCAGG